CCCCUGCCUACCCCACUUCCCCCUCCAGUUCUCAGCUUCUCUUUGAAGUCCGAGAAGUGAGGAUGCGCCUCGUGGGUCGCAGCGGGGGAGGAAAGGGGAGAAGAGGGGAAAGUUUGCAAGUUCCCUGAAGGACAGAUACGGAAGAUUAUAAAACCAGCUUCUAGUUUGUCUCCAUGUGGAAGUUCAGCCUUCUGGCCUCUCCCGCACCUCUUCAGUAUCUAUCCUCCUACCGAGCACCCAUCUGAUGGAUCUCUCCCCACUGCAACCCACCCUCCUCUCCAGGACCACUUUUUCUUGCCUGUAAUUCUGGCCUUAGGAAUGCCCAGAGGAGAUCUGUACCCAAAAAGUAUGUUUGAGCAAAGCUAAGUCUCCAGAAUAAAGAUAAUCCCAAUUUACAAGUCAGCCA
rnacentral:lncRNA from 1 species